rnacentral:misc_RNA from 1 species
GAUGAAGAACGUAGCGAAAUGCGAUAAGUAAUGUGAAUUGCAGACUUCAGUGAAUCAUCGAAUCUUUGAACGCACAUUGCGCCCGUCAGUAUUCUGGCGGGCAUGCCUGUUCGAGCGUCAUUACGCCCCUCAAGUCCCCUGUGGACUUGGUGUUGGGGAUCGGCGAGGCUGGUUUUCCAGCACAGCCGUCCCUUAAAUUAAUUGGCGGUCUCGCCGUGGCCCUCCUCUGCGCAGUAGUAAAACACUCGCAACAGGAGCCCGGCGCGGUCCACUGCCGUAAAACCCCCCAACUUUUUAUAGUUGACCUCGAAUCAGGUAGGACUACCCGCUGAACUUAAGCAUAUCAAUAAGCGGAGGA